GGAAUUUUCGGCAAUGGGGGCAACCCUGACCGAGCAAUGCCGCGUGAAUUAUGAAGGUCUUCGGAUCGUAAGAUUCUGUUAUCAGGAAAGAAAGGUAUGACUAGGAAAUGAGUUAUAUUUGACGGUACCUGAUCAGAAAGCCCCGGCUAACUAUGUGCCAGCAGCCGCGGUAAUACAUAGGGGGCGAUCGUUAUCCGGAAUUAUUGGGCGUAAAGAGUGCGUAGGCGGUCUAUUAAGUUUGACGUGAAAUCCCACAGCUUAACUGUGGAGGGUCGUUGAAAACUGGUAGACUUGAGUACAGUAGAGGUAAGUGGAAUUCCAAGUGGAGCGGUGGAAUGCGUAGAUAUUUGGAGGAACACCAGUGGCGAAGGCGGCUUACUGGGCUGGAACUGACGCUGAGGCACGAAAGCGUGGGGAGCGAA
rnacentral:rRNA from 1 species